UGAAGAUGCUCCAACAGAGGAGCAACAAGAACAACAACAACAACAAGCGCCUCUGUCUGGCUCGGGUGACACCAGACAACGCUGAGCCAACAGGAGCAGAUCAAAGAUGCUCAGAGAUCUUAGAGAGAGAGGUGAUCAGAAGAAACGCGCUGCGGAGCACAAGGUCGGCCUUGUCUGCGGGGGCCAGGGGUCACAGGAUCUGAGCCCUCCUGAGAGAGAACUCACCUUGUUGCAGGAUUUUGCCGAAGUACUUGUUGUGGCUGGUGCAGUUCCAGCGGCGGAAGCGGAACUGGAACUGACACUCCCUCACGCCCAGCCGCGCGCCCUUGGCCACCUCGCGCACGAUCUCCGGCUGAGUCUGGCACAGCUCGGCGUGUUUGCCCGUCAGACGCUUGGCCUUCCUGCAGAUGCUGUUGGGGUCCAUCACCAGCGGGCUGCCCACCGCCCUGCACACAGAGUCACAGCACAGUCAGACGUCACACACUGGAGAGGAGUCCAGCGCCUCACAGAUCCUGCUUCCACAGCAAGGAGGCGUGGCCCUGGUGAUCCAGGACACAGAGGAGGACGACCAACCUAAGAAGUCGCUCAGAUGUCUAACUGCCAGUCGUCUUCAAACCUGACGCUCCUCCAACGUGACCACAGAACCAUGGAGUGAUCCCUGUCUGCACCGCAGAGCUAACACAGUCGACAGAGGUGAUACCGCUAACACAGCUAACAGAGCUAACACAGCCGACAGAGCUAACACAGCUGACAGAGCUAACACAGCCGACAGAGCUAACAGAGGUGACACAGCUAACACAGCUAACAGAGCUAACACAGCCGACAGAGCUAACACAGCUGACAGAGGUGACGCAGCUAACACAGCCGACAGAGCUAACACAGCUGACAGAGCUAACACAGCCGACAGAGCUAACACAGCUGACAGAGCUAACACAGUCGACAGAGCUAACACAGCCGACAGAGCUAACACAGCUGACAGAGGUGACGCAGCUAACACAGCCGACAGAGCUAACACAGCUGACAGAGCUAACACAGCCGACAGAGCUAACACAGCUGACAGAGCUAACACAGCCGACAGAGCUAACAGAGGUGACACAGCUAACAGAGGUGACGCAGCUAGCGGAGCUAACACAGCCGACAGAGCUAACACAGCCGACAGAGCUAACACAGCUGACAGAGCUAACACAGUCGACAGAGCUAACACAGCUGACAGAGCUAACACAGUCGACAGAGCUAACACAGCUGACAGAGCUAACACAGUCGACAGAGCUAACACAGCUGACAGAGCUAACACAGCCGACAGAGCUAACAGAGGUGACACAGCUAACAGAGGUGACGCAGCUAGCGGAGCUAACACAGCCGACAGAGCUAACACAGCCGACAGAGCUAACACAGCUGACAGAGCUAACACAGUCGACAGAGCUAACACAGCUGACAGAGCUAACACAGUCGACAGAGCUAACACAGCUGCCAGAGCUAACACAGCCGACAGAGCUAACAGAGGUGACACAGCUAACAGAGGUGACGCAGCUAGCGGAGCUAACACAGCCGACAGAGCUAACACAGCCGACAGAGCUAACAGAGGUGACGCAGCUAACAGAUUAACAUUGCUAACACAGCCGACAGAGCUAACAGAGGUGACGCAGCUAACAGAUUAACAUAGCUAACACAGCCGACAGAGCUAACAGAGGUGACGCAGCUAACAGAUUAACAUUGCUAACACAGCCGACAGAGCUAACAGAGGUGACGCAGCUAACAGAUUAACAUUGCUAACACAGCCGACAGAGCUAACAGAGGUGACGCAGCUAACAGAUUAACAUAGCUAACACAGCCGAGAGAGCUAACACAGGCGACCAAGGCUAAUAGAGCUAACACAGCAAACAGAGCUAACACAGCUGACAGAUCUAACACAGCCGACAGAGCUAACAGAGGUGACGCAGCUAACAGAGCUAACACAACCGACACAGCUAACACAGCCAACAGAGCUAACAGAGGUGACGCAGCUCACAGAUUAAUAUAGCUAACACAGCCGAGAGAGCUAACACAGGCGACCAAGGCUAAUAGAGCUAACACAGCGAACAGAGCUAACACAGCUGACAGAUCUAACACAGCCGACAGAGCUAACAGAGGUGACGCAGCUAACACAGCUAACAGAGCUAACAGAGCUAACACAACCGACACAGCUAACACAGCCGACAGAGCUAACAGAGGUGACGCAGCUAACAGAUUAACAUAGCUAACACAGCCGAGAGAGCUAACAGAGGUGACGCAGCUAACAGAUUAACAUAGCUAACACAGCCGAGAGAGCUAACAGAGGUGACGCAGCUAACAGAUUAACAUAGCUAACACAGCCGACAGAGCUAACACAGCCAACAGAGCUAACAGAGAUGACGCAGCUAACAGAUUAACAUAGCUAACACAGCCGAGAGAGCUAACACAGGCGACCAAGGCUAACAGAGCUAACACAGCGAACAGAGCUAACACAACCGACAGAGCUAACACAGUGAACAGCGCUAGUAAAGCUAACAGAGCUAACAGAGCUAAUGAAGCUAACAGAUCUAACGUGACGUCGCACCUCAGAACUUUAUUGUCACUCGUAAACUAAAAUUUGCUUCGUGGUUGGCUAAAAACUAAAUGCAGGACCAAACAAAUUUGAAGAAAAAUGAAGAUGGAAAGAAGCACUGCAGUUAUGAAGCUGAGGCAAAGAAUGUCUGGAAAUCUCCCAAACGAGACUCAGCCAGUUGUUUUUCCUUGACCUGUAGAACCAACUCAGAAGCUGCCUGACCAUCGCAGGUGAGAUUGUGGUCAACAGACAUGAACACCCCCUGACCUCUGUGUCACCACCCGAGCCCCGGCUGGAGACAGAUCGACAGCAUUUUCCUUCUGUAAAUAACACGGCACAACAGCCGAGAGUCAGCGGCUAAAUAUUUUCACAAAUGAAAAGGGAUCUUCUCCGGGACUUUGGACUGAGCACCAGUGACCUUUGACCCAGGUUCCUCAUGAACCAAGUGAGUCGUGGCUUGUUCAGGUCGAAGACGCUGCUUUAGUGUGCGACCACUAGGUGGCGAGGGUCGCGUGGUUCGGUCCAGCACUGCUGAUGCCUCCCGAGCCGGCAAAGGCCCCUGCGGGAGCCGGCACAUCAAAGGCCAGGAGCUUGUGAUGGAAUCACAGAGCCAAGUGAUCCUCACGCUGAGCUCCAUAAUCCCGCUCGGACGGAGGUCUUGAUGAGAGUCAGCUGAGGUGAGCUGCUGCAGAUAUGGCCAAACAUGGGGCGCGGGAACAGGAGUCUUGUCCUUCUUUGGAGAUGGGUCCGCGGCACAUUGGAGGCGGAAGGAGACCUGAACCCUCUCACCACAGUUGGACCAGAAGAUGCCGCAGCUCAGACAUGAAGAAACCUCAGGUGGUGACCUCGGCCUGACCCCGGGUGGGUUCUGGUUCUGGUUCUGGACCGGUGUUAAUUGGAUCACAGCGACACGUCAACAGCGAGGAGCAGCUCUGGGAGCCCAGCUCUCCAGUGAGGACCAGACGUCGGCUGGACCGGACCUGAGGUGCCCAAGAGGUCUGCGCUCAGAACCUGACGCUGAAGAGACGGUGGAACCUCUCGCUCUCCUGUGACCUUCAGGUUCUUCUCCCACUGAGCAUCAGGACCUUCUCCAGUCAGGGUCACGCUCUCCAGGGAAUGGCCGUCGCCUGUGUCCUCUCCUGACCCCUGAACUCUCAGGUGACCUCUGCAGACAGGAUCUUCUGCUCAGCCCAGUGCUGAGUCACGUUCCCACACUCAGCUUCCUCCCCUCAGCUCUCCCUCACAACUCCUCCACCUUCUCCUCCAGUCUCUUGUACCGUGAAUAGCUCAUUCACUCUUUCAUCCCUGAACAAGGUCACGUGGGGAUCCCAGCUCCACAGGGCAAGAGGCAGGGGACCCCCUGAGCAGAUCCCCAGACGAAUGUAGCUCCAGCUGCCACAGACAGAACUGGUGAUAGAACCGUGGGUGUCACAGAGACACUCCCCAGUGAGCUGAGCAGAAGGGAGGCGGAGCCACUGGGGUCGGCAGGCGGGCGUCACGGCGACCACGGAGGUAAACACCAGCGCCGCCUGCAGCUGGGGUCUCCCGUGGAAAAUAAAUAUUUAGGCUUGGACUUGCUUCGGUGGAAAACAGAGGCGGAGACGUGGCGGACGCUGUGUUUACUGGAGCCGCGACAGGUUUGGUUCUGGACGCCACAGUGGACCCAGCCUCAGCUCAGAUGUUGGUUUCCUGAGGGGGCCGCUGAGGAAAACUCUGAGCUAGGGCCGUGACGCUUCAGACAAGACCCACUCAAUACCAGACCCAAACCGCACUGCAACGGCCGGAGUGGGUUCAUCGACCGGGCGGUGGUGGAGGCAGUCAGGGAGACACCAGCCUUGGAGAAGAAGCAACGGAGCCGUGGGCUGGAGGGAGCAACUCUCACGGUGACCUUGAGAGUUUGACUGAUCAGGAGCCAGAACAUGAGCUCUGAGGCGGAGAUGAAGUGGGACAGAAACCGACACAACAGGGUGGCCCUCAGCAGUGCAGCGCGCCACGCUCGCUGUCGGCCCGGGACCAAGAUGGAGGAGCAGCAGCUGAGGGCCGUCAGCUCAAGUGCCCACUCUGGAGCUGAUAACAAGUCUCUGAUCUGGCUGCUCCACCGCCUGCUAUUAUUAGCCUCCACUCGAUGCUAAUGGCACACACGGGGACCUGCUAUCUCCUGCUGUGGCGGGUCCAGGGUCCGCUCCAGGAGGCCGCACAGAGCCGCUGGUGUUCCUCAGACUGGACCGAGCAGGACGCUGGCCGUCCCUUCACUGAGGCGAAGACAAGGAGGGGCAGGUCAGGAGGACGUGUGGUGACCUUGACCCGGUCUCUGGUGGACCGGCGAGAGAGUCCAGGCCCAUCAGAUGAACUGACCACCAGCGGCUGAGUGAGACUGGUGUGUGUCUCACUCUCACAUGCGCGCCACUCAUGUCUGACCAAUCGGAACACAGCUAGAAGGUGAAAAACAAGACUCUGAUUUGGGCUCACUGGAGCUGCGCUGAAGCCAGCAGGGUCGCCCCGACUCUCCGAGCGGAGUCAUGUGACAGAGACCGGGAGCAGAGCUGGCCUCCAGCCCUGUGCCACCGGGGGGCGCUCAUGAGCGCCUCUCUCCUCUGCCACACAGCGCAUCAUCUGGCUGCACGUCUUCGUCAAGUUCAUCUGGCGGCGUGCCUCCACACACACACACACACAGCCCAGAGCGCCACCUGAUGCCAAAGCCACGUCGUCAUCUUUAUCUGGGCCCAUCUCCGCGCCGCUGAUUAAACAGCUCUCCAGCCCAGAGUGGAGCGACAAGAUAGGAUCUGCGUGUGUGAGUGUGUCGGGCCCAACCACAAGCUCCGUGCACUGCAUGUUUAAAAGAUUAGCUGUGUGUGUACUGGUUCAGCUGUUCCUGUGGGGACCUGCUGCCGAGCCCCCUCCACUGUGGGCCUCAGGAGUCAAACCUUCAGAGGAGCCGGGUCUCAGUCUGCUCCAGAGUCCUGGUUCAGGUGAGCCGUGAGAGGCUGGGGGAAGGGUGGCGGCCUGGACAGGAGGUCCUCACAAGGUCGGUGCCGGCACAGCGGUCAGCGCCAGACACGCGCGGCCCUCUGCUCAGCAGCAGCAGCAGAGGAGCGAAGACAUUCCUGCAGCUCGGAGCCAAGUGAGGGCAGCUAUCUCCAGCCUCUCAUCCCCUCCCACAUCCUCAGCUGGUGGCUCCAGACCAGCCCAGAUAGUGGAGCGGGGGAGUCCACACAGGGCCCCAUUGUCCCGGGCCGCAGGUGUGGGGCGGCCAGUGACAACAGAUGACAACGCCUGUCAGUGAGGAUGAGAAGGAAGUGGCCGGUUCGGUUGCGUUGAUCUCUCUAAUCCGCUGAAGCGUUAUUGGACUGGCACGCACGGAGACAGACAGAGGACGGGAUUGUUCCUCCGGCCUCCACCGUCCCCGGGACAGCAGCUCUUCAUCACACGUCCACCUGAGACUGUGCUCCUGGGCCAGCACCACCAAUCACCUGGGGCGUAGCUGGGAAGGGUCCCAUCAGUGGGCGGACAUGGGGCGCACCAGCCCAGCCACAGGUCUGCAGUCUGACGCCACCGUCAGCCUGAGCCUCAGUGUGAGGGACCCUGUCCACCUACCCUCUCUGAUCACUCCAGGGCCACAGAACAAAGAGUGGUUCCAUCGCCAUCUGAUUUAUUUCAACGUAACAUCAAAGAACAAUAGAAGCAGAUUUGGUUCCGUUGCCUUCACACACGACGUUUCAUGGCAGUUGGACUCGAGGUGAAUAUCAGGGCCUCAGCGACCAGUCGGUGGCUUGUGAAUCAGAACCGACCGGUGUCGAGUCACUCGCUCGUAUCAGCAGCUAACAAGUCCGCGGCGGCUCCAGCCAACGCAUCUUUUGUGAGGGAUCGCUGUUAAAGGCCGGUGUUGGCCGUAACUGUGGCACUGUUUGUUUGAAUGCGAGCCGUCUUCUUCUACUGGUCUGGCUGAUGCAUGUGCCCCGCUCGCUGCUGCCCCCUGCAGUAGCAGAGGAAGCACUGCACAAACAAGCGCCUCGCUAGUUAAACUACACCGAAUGAUGAACAGAUUUCUGCUUCUAUAAAAGACGACAGGAGGCGCUGGGCUUUCUCUGCUACAUGUCAGACGCGGUCAACCACCCACAGUUGGGCUCCACUUGACUUCUCUCUGCAGAGUUCCUUCAGAAUCAGCACCUUCUUCUCCUGUUAGUAGCUGUGUGGAAGAGGCAGGAUGUCAACAGUGGGUUGGAUGAUCGGCCCAAGAGCUUCAGGGCCACUUCGCCUGAUGUAACCCUUCAAACCCUGAACUGUCGCCCACAGAAAGGAGAGCGUCUGCACCUCCUGCUCUCACGUCACGACACGACAGAAGUGUUUCCACAUGGGGCUCUGGACACAGCGCUGAGGAGGCCCUGCCUCACAGCUGCACCUCUGACUCGGCAGCGACAGAAACUGGUGCCAUCACAGCUCAGCUCCGUCUGAGCGGGGCUACAACAUCACAGCGCUGCGAUCCCGGCGGCGUGCGAUUGUGACGCGGAGCUGAGGGGGAACUCAGAAACUCCUGACGAGUCUCGAUGCUCAGCUCUCCGGAGCGACGUCCCGCCCGCGACUCACCGGAGCCGGGUCCAGAGUGAAGUCCGCCUCAGCAGGAGCGAGAGGAGCGGCGGCCCGGGCGCAGCAGCCCACACCGAGCUGCACUGAAUGGACCGUGGGAGGAUUCUGGAGAGGAACAUGACAAAGCUCCGCAGUCAGGCCUGCGAGAGGGGAGCGCGCGGCGUUAUCAGCGCAUCUGCCUGCACACGGCACAUGCCCUGCGCCCAGAGGGCCACCUGACAUUCCUGACCCUGACUCAAACACACACAGAGCGGUCUCCUCUCCCGGGGGGCACGCCGCCACCCCGAGACCCAUCCGCCGAGCCCGAGCGGAGCCGCGCCGCCUCGCGCGACGGAGUCGCUUUUGUAAGUCACCAACAUGAGUAACCCAAGCUCGGCGCGCCAGACUCGGUCGGUGCGCAGUCAACAGAGCGUCCGCGAGCGUCGGGACUCACCACCACAGGCCGAUGAUGUUGACCGGACACAGCAGAAUGAAGAACAGCGCCAGGUGGAUCCGCGAGUGUCGAGCCGUCAUGGUGCGGCUCUGGAGAAAGUCACGACGAGAACCGCUGCUGGCGGCGGCUGAAGCGAAGUCUC